UAUAAACGUCCGUUUGCAAAAAUUCUUUUUUUUAACUAUGAGAAGUAAACCUCGUUUAUCUUUGUAUCUAGGAGUAUAAAAUAGCCAGCAGAACACACAGUAACAUCAACUGAAUAUGGAGAAAAUAAUAUUGAGAUGCAAAGUAGAAUUAGAAAUAAAAUUUUGAAAAAGGAUCGAGGACGUCGUUUACUGGUAGAAUUUGCUCAGAAUUACAGGGGUGUUUGAAGGGGCUUCCGAUUGAUCUUCUACCUGUGAUAAGACGAAGAACAACUAUGUGUUGCACCUGACACAACCUGAUCAAGUGGAUCAAGUUACUCAAAGUAACGGAACCUCAGGUCAGUUCAGUCCGAUAAUCUUCCAUACCAGGGGGUAAUCUCAUCAUGGGGUCACAUCGCACCCGGACGAUACUGUAAUCCACUCCCUCACUGAAGUUAUCUCUCCAGAACGCUCGGCAUGCAAACUGCCUCUCAAAGAUCUUUGAAAUAAACAUCUUUGGUGAGCCUUUCAUCACUUUACAUUGUCAGCAAUGGUGUAUAUAGGACUUCGAUAUAUAACAUUAUGU